UCUCACGGUACGGUUUCCAUGUCGAAUUGUCUUUCGCACUCGACUCUCGAUGAUUACUUUCUUGACGCGAUCGCGUGCCCAACGCUCAUUCGAUGAACGUGCGACAUCUGAUGCGAGUGUGUCAAUGACUGGUGAAAGGUAUCAAUGGAUUUUCCUCUACUGACCCACGACAAGGAACUUUCAAUCUCUAGUCACCUACACGACGAUUACGUGCUUCCACUUACAUAAUCGACGUAGUGUUGCAGGACUUGACACGAACCACUGGUAGGAAGAAAAAAAGAAAAAAUACAUGGUUGAAAGUUGAAAAACAAGUCUGAGGAAGAAGAUAAACUUCUCGAUCAAAAAGAAGUCCUGCAUUUUACAUCGUUACUUCUCUGAAUUCUUGGAUCUCUUGUCUUUCCACUUUCUCUGCAGUUCAAAGGUGAUGGUAGUUGGUCAUCCAACAAAAUAUUGGCUAUUAGAUGAUUGGAGGAUAAAUUAUUUAUAAUAUUUUAAUCUAAAAUACAUCUUCAGCAUUUUCUUAUCUAUACAAUAAAUAAAUACAAUUGUGAAAAAUGCGAAUACGAUCGAAAUUUAUUAUUUGGUGAAAAAUUUUCGAAAGAUUCAAUAGGAUCGUGCUCGAGCAUAAGAAAACUGAUCGAAAAACAAGCCAUGGCGUUGGUCUGAUUAUGAAUCCUGCAAGUUUUAAGGUUCAAUCGAUAACGAAUCUAAAUAUUGGCUUUGUCUUUUAUCAGCGUGCACAAUCCUGAAAGUAGUAAAGUACCCAACCGAUCGUAAUUCUCCGUAUAUCUUAUGUAUACACAGGAAAAGUCAUAAAACUGAGAUGGCGGGAAAUAAGGUCAUCGGUGCAGUCACCCUUGCAAAUCCUAUGAUUCAAAAAAAAAAAAAUGGAAAUUUUAAUAACAAUCAAUAUAAUGAUAUUUUUUUCAAUUAAAUACUAGAUGAAGAAAAUUAAUUUUUUAAGGGGAAAAAAAGGAUCUUCAAACUUAAUUCUUACAAAAUCUCUAAGAUACAAGAUACUUUAAUGAUAUUGGAAUCUCUGAAUUCUAAUGCCGAGAGAUCGAUUGUCGUACUGCGACACUAGUGUUGGAGAGUUGGCACAACUCGAGAGUUGCUGUUCAUGGCUAGCCCUGAGAUCAAACUCCGGACCACUAUCGAGAUCUUCCAAGAUCCUUCUCGUUCGAGAGCAGUUUCAUUAAAUUUAGAUCGCGUGUAUCAUUCGUGCCCUUCUAUUACUCGCAAUUAAUAUUCUUAUAUAUGACAACUGAAAAUUAAUUCUAUCAAAUCUUUUCAUAAGAGUGAAUGACGAUAUUUUAUAUUAUUUAAUUUAUUUUCUUAUUAAUAAUAAAAAUCUUUAUUAUUGUAUUCUAUUGUAAAUAUAAUUUUUAUUCUAUUAAAAUUAA